CGUCACUUCAUUAUUGGCUGCACCUGCGCAAUCAUGUGACGCGAUACAUUUUUUCAAAGACGUUUUUCAAGACACAGGAGAGGUCGGGUUGAAACAUUACUGAUGUUUCACGUUAAAAAUGGCUCUAAAGAUUGAUGCUAAACAACGUUUGACAUGUUUGAACAAUGUAAAUAGAUUAUUUUUUUUACUUUUCGCCGUGACUCCCCCCCGCUACUUUUUAGUAGCCUACCGAAGCGCUAACAACAUGGAACAACUUGGAGUUAUUUGGACAUCAAUUAUGAACUUUGUUGAAAGAAACCACAUUUGCAGUGGACCUGGGAUGCGUGGAAUUGCCAAUGGAUGAAGAGAAUCAAAGAUAUUCUAAAAGUGGAGGACAUCGAAUUUUCAGGAUACCCGACAUUUACACAGCUGCUACCGGGAAUAAUUGAUUUGGAUCAUCCAACAUUAGCUGUUAUAAACAUCUCUGAUGAGGAAUCAGAGGAGCGAACAGCGGCCUGUUCUUCUUUACGCAGCCCGACCCCAUCAAGCUAUUUUCGAC
rnacentral:lncRNA from 1 species